CGCCUGAAAGUGAACUACUAAAAUAUUCUACGAAUUUAGAUAUAGUCAUACUGCACGCCACCUUUUAUUUCAAGGUUUUAUUAUUCUAACAAUAUAUAAUUAUAUAAUUACUCAUAUCUAAGUUUACGGCGCAAAAACACUAAUUUAAUAUAUAGCUCCUCUUAGUUAUUUAAUCAACAUAUGUCAGAUCUAAUGUGGGCAGAAUUACAAAAAAAUUCAAUUACAUAAUUAAUAUCAAGUGUGAGACACAAUCAUGUUCUGGUUCCCUUACGAUGAAAUAAGCCCAACACCAAGUGGAAAGAAACAGUGUAGUGAGUUUUCAUGUGACGUCAUGGCGGCCAUGUUGGAGGGCAAGUAUCGACAUUCAAUGGAGUGAAUAAAGGCUCAUUCUUGCGAUGAGUGAAAAAGAGCAUUAAUAGGUG
rnacentral:lncRNA from 1 species